rnacentral:rRNA from 1 species
AAUCAACGCUGGCGGCGUGCCUAACACAUGCAAGUCGAACGCGAAAGCCCCUUCGGGGGUAAGUAGAGUGGCGUCCGGGUGAGUAACACGUAGGUAAUCUACCUUCGGGUGGGGAAUAACCAGUCGAAAGAUUGGCUAAUACCGCAUAAUGCAGCGGCACCUAAUGGUGAUUAGUUGUUAAAGCGGGGGAUCGUAAGACCUCGCGCCUGAAGAGGAGCCUGCGGCAGAUUAGCUAGUUGGGAGGUAAUGGCUCACCAAGGCUUCGAUCUGUAGCUGGUCUGAGAGGACGGCCAGCCACACUGGCACUGACACACGGGCCAGACUCCUACGGGAGGCAGCAGUGGGGAAUUUUGGGCAAUGGGCGAAAGCCUGACCCAGCAACGCCGCGUGAGGGAGGAAAUCCUUCGGGAUGUAAACCUCACAAGCAAGGGAAGAGAGCUCAGGGCCGAAUAAGCUUUGAGUCCGACGGUACCUUGCGUAAGCCAC